rnacentral:rRNA from 1 species
UACGAGUGCCCCGAGCGUUAUCCGGAAUUAUUGGGCGUAAAGGGUGCGGAAGGCGGCGAUAUUAGUCUUUUGUUAAAGCUCCCGGCUUAACCGGGAAAUCGCGAAAGAAACGGUAUUGCUUGAGAGUGUGAGAGGUAUGCGGAACUCAUGGUGUAGGGGUGAAAUCCGUUGAUAUCAUGGGGAACACCAAAGGCGAAGGCAGCAUACUGGCACAUUUCUGACGCUCAAGCACGAAAGCGUGGGUAGCGAAUGGG